rnacentral:rRNA from 1 species
UGGUGGAGUGAUUUGUCUGGUUAAUUCCGUUAACGAACGAGACCCCGCCUGCUAAAUAGUCACGUCCAUGCUUGGCAUUGACGUUGGCUUCUUAGAGGGACUUUCGGUGACUAACCGAAGGAAGUUGGGGCAAUAACA